rnacentral:rRNA from 1 species
GGACGAACGCUGGCGGCGUGCCUAACACAUGCAAGUCGAGCGAGGAGAUUCCUUCGGGAUGAUCCUAGCGGCGGACGGGUGAGUAACACGUGGGCAACCUGCCUCAUAGAGAGGAAUAGCCUUCCGAAAGGGAGAUUAAUACCUCAUAACAUUGCAGUUUCGCAUGGAACAGCAAUUAAAGGAGCAAUCCGCUAUGAGAUGGGCCCGCGGCGCAUUAGCUAGUUGGUGAGGUAACGGCUCACCAAGGCGACGAUGCGUAGCCGACCUGAGAGGGUGAUCGGCCACAUUGGGACUGAGACACGGCCCAGACUCCUACGGGAGGCAGCAGUGGGGAAUAUUGCACAAUGGGGGAAACCCUGAUGCAGCCAACGCCGCGUGAGUGAUGACGGCCUUCGGGUUGUAAAGCUCUGUCUUCAGGGACGAUAAUGACGGUACCUGAGGAGGAAGCCACGGCUAACUACGUGCCAGCAGCAGC